CCAGCCUGGUGACAGAGCAAGACUCUGUCUCAAAAAAACAAUAAAUCAGCAAACAAAACCACCAAGUCAGGCAUGGUGGCUCACACCUGUAAUCCCAGCACUUCUGGAGGCCAAGGCAGGAGGAUCAAUUGAGCUAAGGAGUUGAAGGUUGCAGUGAGCUAUAAUCUUGAUGCUGUACUCCAUACUGUACAAAAAAAAAAAAAAAUUAAAAAACCCAUUUAAGAGAGGAUAUACAUUGAGCAAAAUAAACAUAUAGGUAUACUUUAUCUCCUUUUUCAUAACUAUUUCUUAACAAUAUGCUCUAAUUCCCAAUCUUGUUUUAUGAAGAGAUUUCUGCCUUCUAUAGGCUGAUCAAAAUAUAACAUAUUUUCUUAACUUUGAAUUACAGGUCUUUCUUGAAUUUAAAACUGACGCAGAGCUGAUAUAUCUCCUUUGACUUCUGCCAUGAUUAUGAGGCCUACCCAGCCAUGCUGAACUGUAAGGCUUCUGAGAUUAUAAAUAGUUUCAGAGGAAGACCUACUUCUUUUGUGUCAACUACAAUCCCACAGCAGUUGGAGUAUCAAAAAUGACUUCGAUCUGCAACUGAAAGAAUCACAGCAAGCUCUCAUUGCACCAAGAGCUGAAAAAGACAACGUGAGAACUUAGUGAAAUAUGCAUAAGUUUAAAUAGCAGAAUGGAUCAAGCAGAAGAAAGGAUAUCAGAGGUUGAAGACCAACUUAAUGAAAUAAAAUGACAAG
rnacentral:lncRNA from 13 species